rnacentral:rRNA from 1 species
AAUACCGAAUACGAUCCGAAAGUCGCAUGACAUUCGGAUGAAAAGGGUGGCCUAUCGAAGAAGCUAUUGCUUGAAGAGGGGUUUGCGUCCGAUUAGGUAGUUGGUGAGGUAACGGCCCACCAAGCCGACGAUCGGUAGCCCGGUCCUGAGAGGAUGAACGGCCACACUGGAACUGAGACACGGUCCAGACUCCUACGGGAGGCAGCAGUGGGGAAUCUUCCGCAAUGGACGAAAGUCUGACGGAGCAACGCCGCGUGAGUGAAGACGGCCUUCGGGUUGUAAAGCUCUGUGAUUCGGGACGAAAGGCUAUAUGUGAAUAAUAUAUGGAAAUGACGGUACCGAAAAAGCAAGCCACGGCUAACUACGUGCCAGCAGCCGCGGUAAU